AGUGGCGGACGGGUGAGUAACGCGUGGGUAACCUGCCUCAUACAGGGGGAUAACAGUUAGAAAUGACUGCUAAUACCGCAUAAGACCACAGCACCGCAUGGUGCAGGGGUAAAAACUCCGGUGGUAUGAGAUGGUCCCGCGUCUGAUUAGGUAGUUGGUGGGGUAACGGCCUACCAAGCCGACGAUCAGUAGCCGACCUGAGAGGGUGACCGGCCACAUUGGGACUGAGACACGGCCCAA
rnacentral:rRNA from 1 species